rnacentral:rRNA from 1 species
UACGAAGGGGGCUAGCGUUGCUCGGAAUCACUGGGCGUAAAGGGUGCGUAGGCGGGUCUUUUAAGUCAGGGGUGAAAUCCCGGGGCUCAACCUCGGAACUGCCUUUGAUACUGCAAGUCUCGAGUCCGAUAGAGGUGAGUGGAAUUCCUAGUGUAGAGGUGAAAUUCGUAGAUAUUAGGAAGAACACCAGUGGCGAAGGCGGCUCACUGGAUCGGUACUGACGCUGAGGUGCGAAAGCGUGGGGAGCAAACAGG